AGCCCCUCGAGUGGUGGGGAUGAUUAUUGGGCCUAAAGCGUCCGUAGCCUGCCGUGUAAGUUUCCCGUUAAAUCCAGCGUCUUAAGCGUUGGACCGCGGGAAAUACUGUACGGCUAGAGAGUGGGAGAGGUCAGCGGUAUUCUGGGGGUAGGGGCGAAAUCCUUUGAUCCCCGGAGGACCACCAGUGGCGAAGGCUGCUGUCUAGAACACGUCUGACGGUCAGGGACGAAAGCUGGGGUAGCGAACCGGAUUAGAUACCCGAGUAGUCC
rnacentral:rRNA from 1 species